rnacentral:rRNA from 1 species
UACGUAGGGUGCGAGCGUUAAUCGGAAUUACUGGGCGUAAAGCGUGCGCAGGCGGUUUUGUAAGUCUGUCGUGAAAGCCCCGGGCUCAACCUGGGAAUGGCGAUGGAGACUGCAAGGCUUGAAUCUGGCAGAGGGGGGUAGAAUUCCACGUGUAGCAGUGAAAUGCGUAGAGAUGUGGAGGAACACCGAUGGACGAACGGCAGCCCCCUGGGUCAAGAUUGACGCUCAUGCACGAAAGCGUGGGGAGCAAACAGG